UAUCGUAGCCCUUCUUGGGCGUUUCCUCCCUAAACUUCGGGCCGCUCAAAGCGGCCUUUUUCUUUUCCGGC
rnacentral:sRNA from 1 species